rnacentral:rRNA from 1 species
UCCGUAGGCGGGCUCGUAAGUCAGUGGUGAAAUCUCAUAGCUUAACUAUGAAACUGCCAUUGAUACUGCGGGUCUUGAGUAAAGUAGAAGUGGCUGGAAUAAGUAGUGUAGCGGUGAAAUGCAUAGAUAUUACUUAGAACACCAAUUGCGAAGGCAGGUCACUAUGUUUUAACUGACGCUGAUGGACGAAAGCGUGGGGAGCGAACAGGAUUAGAUACCCGAGUA